rnacentral:rRNA from 1 species
CCUACGGGAGGCAGCAGUGAGGAAUAUUGGUCAAUGGACGAGAGUCUGAACCAGCCAAGUAGCGUGAAGGAUGACUGCCCUAUGGGUUGUAAACUUCUUUUAUAUGGGAAUAAAAUGUUCCACGUGUGGGUUUUUGUAUGUACCAUAUGAAUAAGGAUCGGCUAACUCCGUGCCAGCAGCCGCGGUAAUACGGAGGAUCCGAGCGUUAUCCGGAUUUAUUGGGUUUAAAGGGAGCGUAGAUGGAUUGUUAAGUCAGUUGUGAAAGUUUGCGGCUCAACCGUAAAAUUGCAGUUGAAACUGGCAGUCUUGAGUACAGUAGAGGUGGGCGGAAUUCGUGGUGUAGCGGUGAAAUGCUUAGAUAUCACGAAGAACUCCGAUUGCGAAGGCAGCUCACUGGACUGCAACUGACACUGAGGCUCGAAAGUGUGGGUAUCAAACAGGAUUAGAUACCCCAGUAGUC